CCCUCAACCUGUCAACAUACGUAUCAGAGCUUCUCUCUCCCCUCUUUCUCAUUUCUUUUCAUUUCCUUCCCUUCUCUCGAUAAACCGAUUGAAGGAGAGGUUAGGUUUCUUGAUGGUUUAGCUGUGGAGAGCUGCGACAGUUGGGAGAAACCUGGCGGAGAGUGAAUCCGAGAGAGACUUGAGGGAGUUCCUUGCUGUUCCGAAUUGCAGAAGGGAUUUGAGGGAGCUUCGAAGUAGGAGCUGCGAAGAAGAAAGUGCAGAUUUCUCUUGAAUUGAGCUAAGAAGAAAUGAAGUGCAGUUUGCUUGGUGUUUGAGCUGAAGAAAGGACUUUAGAGCAGUUUUUUUUGGCUGUUGGAGCAUCGAAUUAAGGAUUGAGGCCCUAACUUGGAAAUGAUCGCAUACAAACCUAAUUGAGGGUAAAGCGAACGCGUUGGCGAAGUCGGUUCGGCAAUCCGUCGAGCCUACGCAAAGAUAUCGCCCAAAAGACGUUUUUGUCUUCAAUUAUCGCGAGUGUGGAUCGUGAUUCUUGGGAAAGUGCGGGAAGUGGAUUUCUCGCAUUCCAGUAUUAAGUAAAGAUGGGUUGUGUUUUACCGAAGUGAUUAGGUCACUUCCAUGCCAAAGUAAAGUAUAAUUAUUUUGACGCAUACAUGUAUAGUGGUAGAUUGUGAGUAAUAAUAUGAAAGCUUAAAUCGUAUUGUAUCAA